GGAAUAGAUCGGAUGGCCGCCUUGCCCGAAAGGGCGGGGAGGAAAGUCCGAGCUCCGGAGAGCAGCGUAGCGGCUAACGGCCGCCUUCGGCGCUAAGCUUAUGAAGUUAGUGUCGGAAGGAUUAGAGCCACAGAGACGAGUAAGUACACUACUGGUGUAUGGAAGUGAAACGCGGCAAUCUCUACGUGGAGCAAGGUCAAAUAGUUCCCGAUCAAGGAACUGCUCGUUUCUACCGUGACUUAUCGGUAUCGGGAAGGGUAGGCUGCACGAGGUUGUCAGUAAUGGCAGCCCAAGAUAGAUGGUCAUCGGCGCGCGCAAGCGCGCUUACAGAACUCGGCUUACAGGUCUAUUCCGCUA
rnacentral:RNase_P_RNA from 1 species